rnacentral:lncRNA from 1 species
GCCCGGGUCCUGUAAUCCUUAUGGGUGACCAACCUUGUGCCUCCGGGAGAUCCACACUCCCACCUGGAAACACGCGGGAAACCAAGCCGCCAAAAAAGCGCUGUCUUUUAGCUCCAAGGUGGGAUUAUCCAGAAGGAACUCCUAACGGAGGUAGUACCCCUCUCCCUUCCGCACCUACUCCUGCAUCACCGGGCCUGAAGUCGCACCCACCUCCUCCGGAGAAGUAGUACAACACACUUCUCCCACCCCAAACCAGGAAGCACAGAGGAUGAACCAAGUCAUUCUGCCUGGUAGUAAUCAUGAUCCAUCAAAGAGGAAGGGGUAACUUUGGGUGGGCCUUAAAAAGUGAGUGAUGUCUGCCAUGUGGAGGGGGAGGGAAUGCUUUUCUUCGGGGCCUAGCAUUUCCAGAACAAAAGCUCCAAGGCAGGUUUGUUCUAGGAAAAGCUUGGCUAUAAUUCUGAAUCUAUGAGAAUAAUUAGGAGGUGAAAUAGAGUAUUGCAGAGCCUUGAAUGAUAUGCUAACGAGUAUGCAGUUUAAUCCCUAAGUAGUGACAACCAUUGAAGAGUUUCAAGAAAGUGAUAUAUUUUAGGAAUCCCGUUCACUGUUAGAAAAAAUCUUCGAUUUAGAUGAACUUAUAGGAUGCAAAAAAUAAAAUCUGAUCCAAACCUCACAAAUUCUUGUAAUCCGAAAGGGCAUCCUUUCCUCAUUCAUGCGGUAAACCCUUAAGGAGCCCUUUCAAUGGACUAGGCAUUGUGCUAGGAGCUCUACGGAAUGGAUAACCAAAGCAUAUAGGAGUGAAACAGUGGCAGCUAAGGGGGUUCCAGACUUGGGGUUUGAUAGUGGUGCAUAGAAAAAGAAUGAGCUCUGUUGUGCUUGAAAGUAUUACCCAGUCACAUUCCUUACAGCCUGAUUUCCCUCAACUUCACCUCUGUCCAAAGGGUGGUGGUGUGGGAGUAGUGGGAAACCAUAGGGAUAGCACCGCUCAAACAGAAAAUGAAGUUGUUUAGGUCAAGAAGUGCAAGAGCUACAUAAUUGCCUCCAGUGAUUCAAAUCAUUGAAAAUUAUACUAAUAGCGAAUAUUUACUGAACAUCUUUAUGUGCCAGGCACUGGUCUACAAUGCCUCCCAGAGUUUGUUCUCUUAAUUGCUAAGCAAUAGUUCCCUCCUAAUACUGUCUAUAUAACUUUUUUUGGGGGGGGAGUAUGUUAGAGCAUAGGGAUUUGAGGAGGCCAGGGGAAAGAGAUAAACAGUAAAGAAGAAAUGAUUUCACUUUAUUUUACUAUUUUUCAGUCUUUGAGGGAUUGCAGUAUGACUCUAUUUCCUUGGUAUAUGUGCUGCCGAAGCAAGCACCUGACUCUGUUUCCUUAGUGCAUUCAUAAAAUAGUUCACUCAGUGAAGACAAUGAAGAUUAUUGACAAUGCUACCCUGCUUUUUCUGAUGUUCUACACCAGGAAGUUGUGAUUUUUAAGGUAAUCUCUUUACCAAAAACUUAUUAAAAGAGGGAGAAGAAUAAGAGUUGAUUAUGACACAUUAAAAAUAACUACCCCAGAGUUCCUUUGUGGUGCAGUGGGUUGAGGAUCUGGCGUUGUCACUGCAGCAGCUCAGGUGGCUGCUGUGUUGCAGGUUCGAUCCCUGGCCCUGGAAUUUCCACAUGCCACAGGCAUGGCCAAGAUAAAUUUUUAAAAUGAAGAAAUAAUUACUCAAAAACAAAAAGCUAGCACCAAAUGAUAAAAUUUAAAUCAUUUCUACAUUAUAUGAAACCAUAUGUAUAUACCAUAUAAUAAUGUUAUAUAUAAGCUGUUCUGUUAGAUUCACUCCUAAUUACCUUAUGGUUUUUGCUGUUACUGUGAAAUACACUUUUUAAACCACAUUUUCAGAUUAUUGCUGGUAAAUGGGAACAUGAUUGAUUUUUUUUAUUUACAUGAUUGAUAUUUUUAUAUACUGAUGUUAUAUACCGUAACCUUUCUGAAUUCUAUUUGUUCCAAUAAUUUGUAGAUUCUUUGGAUUGUAUGUUAAUUAGUCAUAUUGUGAAUAACGACAGUUUCUUCCUUUCCAAUAUUGGCUUUUUAAAUUUGCCUUACUGUGCUAGCUAGAGUCUUCGGUACAAAAAGAAAUAGUGGCAGUGGUAGAGGAUUUCCUUGUCUUGCUUCUGAAUAUACAAGGGGAUUCUAUACGUGUUUACCAUUUUUAGUAGGUUUUCUUUUUCAGGUUAAAAAAUUUCCUUUGUAUUCUUAGUUUGCUGAGAGCUUUUAUUAUGAAUGAAUGUGGAGUUUUAUCUCCAAAUACUUUGUAUCUACUCCCCGAUCAUAUGGGUUUUUUUUCCUCCAUUAAUACGACAAUGUGACUGUGUGAUGAAUUACAAUAAUCGAUUUUCUAAUAUAUUUCCUUCUUUUGGUUUCAUCAGUCCUCACCAUUUAAUAUUUUGUCUAUUUUAAUAAUUUUUCCUUUUAUUUUUUCUUUACUAUUUGUUUGCUGUAUUUCUAAUCUAUUUAUUUUAAAUCUUUCCUAAAAUAAGAAUUUAUAACUAUAAAUGUUCUACUAUGUACCACUUUAGAAGAAUUUCACAGGAUUUUAUGUGUACUAUUUUAUUAUUAUUUCCUAAUUUCUUUUAUGAUUUCUUUUUGAUUCAUGAAUUAUUUGGUUCUUUAAAAAAUUUACAGACAUAGAGGUCUCUUUUUUAGAAAUCAUAUUGUGACAUCAUUAAUCCAGUUAUAGUUAAACUUUAUCUUUUUUUCUGCUUUAAAAUAUUUAAUGUGUUUUAUUCAUCUGGUAACAUAAAGCAAAUUUAUAUACUGGCUUCUCAUCCCAAAAGAUUUUAGCAAUAUAAAACUUUUUCUUCCAUUAAAUGGAAAACUGUGAUUAUUCUAUUCAGUGAUGGAGUUAUUGCUCAUAUUUAUACAUGUGUUAUUAAACUUUUUGUUUUAAUCUAAUUUUAUGCUUAAAGAAAAAUUGUGAGAAUAUUACAAAGAAAUCCCAUAUACCCUUUACCUAGACUCACCAAUUACUAUUUUUCCAUGUUUGCUUUAUCAUUCUCUAUUUCAGUUUGUGUUUCUCCCUCUCGUCCCAUUUUUUCCUCCCCUCCUCCCCCAAUCACUUCCCCUCUCUUCUACUUUCUCCUCUUCCUUUCUCAACUAUUUGAGAGUAACUUGCAGACAUCAUGCUCCUUUAUCUGUCAAUACUUCAGUGUAUGUUUUCCUCCAAAUGAUGCCAAUCUCUUACUAACUUCAGUACAUGUGUCAAAAUAGAAAUUUCACAUUGUUUCAAUUUUUUGUUUCAUAAACCUUUAUUAUCAAGAUUAUAUACUUAUACUCACUGAAAAAGGAAUGUGUUUGGGAGAACAUGUAUUUCAAAUGGAUAAUGUAAGGUCUAUUUUUGUUCCUUUUUUCCAGCUUCAUUGAAACAUUUAACAUAUAGUGUUGUAAGUUUAAAGUGUACAGUGUGAUGAUAUGCUACAUGUAUAUAUUGCAAAAUGAUUACCCACAAUAAGAUUAGUUAACACAUCAGUCAUCUCACAGUUAUGAUUUUUUUUGUGUGCGGUGAGAACUUUUAAGACCUCUCUCCUAGCAACUUUUAAGUAUACAAUACACAAUUGUUAACUACAGUCACUGUACUAUAGUAUUAACUAUACUAUAACUAUAGUUAUAUAACUAUAUAUACUAUAACAGUAGCAUUAAUUAUAGUAUACAUCAUGCUGUACAUUAAACUUCCAGAAUGUAUUUAUGUUAAAACCAAAAGUUUAUUUUAUUUUAUUUUUUUAAUUAUUUCCCCAAUACAAUUACAACUGAAAGUUUAUACCCUUUUAUCACCUUCACCUUUCCCCCACCCUCCCAACCCCUGGAAACCACCAAUCUACUGUUUGUGUGAGUUCAGACUUUUUUUUUUAUGUUCCAUAUAUAAGUGAAAACAUACAAUAUUUUUCUCUCUCUGCUAACUUAUUUCACUUAGCCUAAUGCUCUCAAGUUUUAUCUAUUAUGUCAGAGAUGGCAGGAUUUCCUUCUUUAUAUAGCUGAAUAAUAUUCCACUAUAUAUAUAUAUAUAUAUACACACCACAUUUUCUUUGUCCAUUCAUCUCUCAGUGGACAUUUAGAUUUUUUCCACAUCUUUGUUAUUGUAAAUAAUGAUGCAGUAAACAUAAAGGUUGAAAAUAUCUCUUUGAGAUAGUAAUUUCAUUUCCUUCAGAUAUAUCCAGGAGUAGAAUCGCUGGAUCGUAUGAUAGCCCUAUUUUAAUUCUUUUUUUUUUUUUUUAGGAACCUUCAUACUGUUUUCCAUAGUAGAUAUUUCAAUUUACAUUCCUAUCAAGGAAUGUGCAAGGGUUCCCUUUUCCCUGUAUCCUCACCAGCAUUUAUUACCUUCUGUUUUUGUUAAAGCCAUUCUAUCAAGUGUGAGAUAUCUCAUUGUGGUUUUGACUUGCUUUUCUCUGAUGAUUAGUGAUGUUGAGCACCUUUCCAUGUACCUAUUGGCCAUCUGUAUGUCUUUGAAAAAAUGUCUGUUCAAAUAUUUCUCACCUUUUUGAGUUGGAUUGUUUUUCCACCGUUGAGUUGUAUGAGUUCCAUAUAUAUUUUGGGUAUUAAUUUCUGAUCAGUUAUGUGGUUUAAAAUACUUCCUAUUCCAUACUUUAUUUCAUAAAUAUGCUAUUUCUGUCAUUUAUUUUAAUGAUCAAAUUGUCCCAGUGGCAAUCCAUUCAAGCUGGAUUCUCUAUGCAUUUGACACAUUCCCAUCAUUCUUUGAUACAUACUUUGACUUCAGCAUUUCCUUACUUUCUUGUCUUAUAUUUCCUGCUUCAUUAACCAUUUCAGGCUUGUCUUAUAUUUCCUGCUUCAUUAACCAUUUCCCUAUGAAUUUAUGGUACUUUUUAGAGGGACAUGGUAUUUAAAAACCAAGACAAAAAAUACAUUGAUUUUUUUUUUAAUUUUUUAAAAAUUUUUAUGCAAUUUUAAAGAUUACUUUCCAUUUACAGCUAUUACAAAAUAUUAGCUAUAUUCCCCAUACUGUACAAUACAUUCUUGAGCCUUUCUUUACCCUCUAGUGUACACCUCCCAAUUCACCACCACUAUAGUACCCCUCCCCUCUCCUCCCGCUGGUAACCACUAGUUUGUUCUAUCUAUGCAUCUGCCCCUUUCUGCUCUUUUAUUGUUAGUGUAUAGAAAUCUAGCAGAUUUCUGUGUAUUAAUUUUGUACCCUAUGACUUUACCAAAUUAAUUGAUGAGCUGUACUAGUUUUCUGGUGGCAUCUUUAGGAUUUUCUAUAUAUAGUGUCAUGUCAUCUGCAAACAGUGACAGUUUUAUUUUUUCCUUUAGGGUAUAUGGAUAUUUUCUAGCUUGACAUUAUGUUAUUCUUUCCCAUUUAAUUACAUUUUGUACAAACAAUGUAGUUUACAUGAUACUGACUAUAUAGUAUUUAUUGAGACAUGCUUUAUGUUCUAGAGAACAUUAUCAAUUUAUUUGUGCCUGAAAAUGUUUUGUAUAUUCUAAUUGUUACAUGUGCACUCUGUAAAUGUCCAUCAAACUUGCUGACUGUCUUGUCAGCAAGAGUGACAUUAAAAUUAUCUUUUAUAUCACUCUUAAUUCUGUUUGUUUGCUAGAUCUUUCAAUUAUUGAGAAAGAUUUAAAAUCUCCCAGUGAUGGAGUUCCUGCUGUGGUGCAGUGGGAUUGGCGGCCUCUCUGGAGCAGCACUGGGAUGCAGGUUUGGUCCCUGGCCUGGCCCAGUGGGUUAAGGAUCUGGUCUUGCCACAAUUGUGGUGUAGGUGGCAACUGCAGCUCAGAUCUGAUCCCUGGCAUAGGAACUCCAUAUGCUGUGGGGUGGCCAAAAAAAAAAAA